ACUUCUCAGCAUCGCCGUCUCUGAGGGCAGGAGUGAUCUGGAGCCCUCCCCAAGCCCACAGGUAGUCGGGCGGCAUGUGCGGGCCUGGGGGGCCCCACUGGGGUCUUCUCUCCUCUUCCCCGGCCCCUCCCCGAGGCCAGGACAAGUCCUGCCUGCCCUGAACGGGGGCGGCUGAGCCCAGGUUGGGGUGGUGGUGAGACAGGGAGACUGGGGAGCUGGGCACCCUGAUGGGGGUUCUGGGCCUGCCACUCAUCAGCCUGGAGGUCCGGGGCUUUUCCCCAACCCCCUGUGCACGGAAAGGUUUAGGGGCCAUGCCCCAGGUGGCCACAGCGACGGGAAGCUCCCUGGCUGCCUCAAAGGGCUGUUCUGUGGGGGGACCUGGUCCAGGAUGAUGGAGGGGAGGCAGCAACUGGACUUUUCCCCUUGCAGCUGUAAGGAUAGCUUGAUUUUUCUAAGGACAACAACCCUGUGUCUCCCCACUGAGUUACAAGCCCGCAGGUGGCUUGAUGAACAUGUGGUUUCUGGAUGUGACAUGAAAGUUAGCAUUUGCGCGCUCUUUGGUUUCCCUGGGUUUGUUUUUCUUGCUCUUACAGUCCUGAACUAUUCCCAAUCGUGUUUAUGUUGAGGCAGAAGACAUGGCUGUGGAGUGUCGGUGCACCAGGGUCUGCCGGGUCCCCGCCUCCCCAUCCUUCCAAGAGGCACCAGCUGCAAGGCACGUGCAUGUGCCCUCCUGACCCCCCGGUCCCCAAAGAGCCUGCUCCCGUCACUCCAGGCAGGCACUGUUGCUGGGAUUUCAAGGCAGCUGAGUGCAGAGCCCACUGCAGAGGCAUCAGCCCCUCCCAGGCCUCUAGGAAACCUGCUCCUCCCCUCCCUCCACAGGCAUCUGCUUACAGCGCCAGCGGUGCCUCGUGCUCCACCUGGAGCACCACUGUCUGUCAGGGACACGGGCUCCCAGAGGGCUGCACGUGAAUGAUUUCCGACCCUCACAACAGCCAGGAAGUAGGGACUGGGAUUGUUCCCAUUCUGUAGAUGAGAAGACUGAGGCUUGGGAUAACGUGCUUGCCCAAGUUGGCAUGGGCAGUACAAGACAAAGCUGGGGUUGCAAAUGAUCACGCUUCCUAUUCUGAAUAUUUCUUUUUCUGCCACCUUCUCCUCUGAGUGCUGGCUUUCCCUACUUACCAAGCCCCCAGCUGCUCACUGCGGUGCCAGAGCACCCAAGAGCCUCCUCUGGCAGUGCCAUGGCCCACAGCACACUCCCCUUGGCUCUAUCAGGCCUCCCUUUUGGCUUGAGUGCCACCCACUCACUCCUCUCCUGCUUUCUGGCAUCGUUAUUUAAUUGUCCAACCCUGGUCUGCUCAGUUAGACCGUAAACUCUGAGAGGACGAGGAGUCUUCGCCGGCUGCCCCCCGGGCCUGGCCUGGGGCUGCCACGUAGCUGAAUCUCAGCCACACUUGCUGUAGAAUGAUUUGUUAUUAUUCUCUGAGGCUGGGUUUCCACGUGGCUGGGCACAGGAGGACAGAGUCCCCCUCCCCGUCCAGGUCCUUGGCUGGCCAGCAUUUCAAAUGAUAUUGUUUCAUAUUAAAUUAUUUUAAAUUCCAUGGACCCUGGUUUCACAAUCAAAUAAUUCGAUCUUGUUUACAAAUGGAAUUUUUAGUUUUUGACGGUUUCUUGCUUUGCUGGGCUGGACGGUCAGUGAAUGCGUGUCCUCCCGUGCCCUCCAGUCCAUCUCUGUUGCCUUCCCCGGGAUGCCGUGGAGGCCGGGAACCGUCCCCAGGAGUGGGGACGUGGUCAGGAGGGUGGGGUCAGGCAGCCCUGUGCAGGCAGACAGCUCACAGUGCUCGGGGCCUGGAGGCGGGGGCGUUCUCUGCUUGCCCUCUUCCAGCUCUAGACAUGAGAAAACCCACAAAGAACAGAAUUGGAAGGGAUCUUUGACACACGUGAUUCCAACAUCCCCUUUUACAGUUAGGAAACUGAGGCACAAGAUCCUGGUUCUUGGGGUUGGGCCUUGGACCCAGCACUGGGUCUUUGCACAGCCUCCUCAGGACUGAUCCACACUUUGUUCUCUUCCCCACCAACCCCAUCACUUCCCGUUAGGUGCCACUUACUGCUUUCACCUACCGAGACAGAGAGAGGGAAAAGUGUGACCUCUGACCUCUAGGAGCUAGGAACCCAGUGUUGGGAGGGGAGCUGCGGAGGAGGAGACAAAGGAGGCACAAUGAGGUGGACCCUACGGGGUUGGGAGGAGCUUGGAAGGCAGUUCAGAAAGGACACGUAGGAGAAGGCAGGGUGGGACUGUGGGACAGCAGGCCGGGCGCAUCCAGCGGCGUUUGCAAAGCCGGAGAAGUGGCCAAGCUCAGUGGCUGUGGCCAGAUGCCAUUUGUGGCAGUUGAUGAGAAUCUUGUGACUAUUUUAACCGAUGUGUUAAACUUCACUCUCCCCCUGUCAGUCUCCUUGUCACCUUGGAGAAUGUUAUUAGUCAAGGUUCUCCAGAGAAACAGAACCAACAGAAUGUACACACAUGCACACACAUACACAUGCACACACACACACAUACACACGCACACACACACACACACAAACAGGGAUUUAUUGUAAAGAACUGGCUCCUGGAAUAACUGAAUUGAUAAGUCCCAAGAUUUUCAGUCAGCAAGCUGGAGACCCAGAAGAGGCUACUAGGGACUAGACAUGUCCCCCCAAAAUUCAUAUGGUGGACCCCAACCUCCAAUGUGAUGGUCUUAGGAGGUGGGGUGUUUUGAAGGUGAUUAGGUCAGGAGGGUGGAGCGCUAAUGAACGAAAUUAGUGCCCUUAUAAGAAGAGACAGGGCAGCUCUCUCUCUCUGAUCUCUGUCACAUUAGGACGUAGAGAGAGGAAGGCCAGCAGUAAGUGGGCCCUCACCAAAAUCAAAUUGGCAGCACCGUGGUGCUGGACUUCCAGCCUCCUGAAUGGUGGGAAAUGAAUAUUUGAUGCUUAAGCCACACAGUCUACAGCAGCCCGAGCUUAGACAGAGCGGACGUUUCAGUUCAAGUCCAAAGGCAGGAAAAAGCUAGACAUUCAGCUCAAAGGCUGGCAGGCAAGAGGAAUUCUAUCUUACUCAGGGGACGGGACCCCCUUUGUCCUAUUCAGGCUGUCAACUGAUUGGAUGAGGCCCACCCAUAUUAGGGAGGGGAAACUGCUUUACCUGGCCCACUGAUUCCAAUGUGAGUCUCAUCCCCAAGCCCCUCACAGAAACACCCAGAGUGAUGUCUGGUCAAAUAUCUGGGCGCUGUGGCCCCGCCAAGUUGACACUGAAAUUAACCCUCGCAGAGGCCGCCUCUUUAUCACGGGACACAUGCUUGGAGCCCCUCUUCUGGAACUUUCUCUAAGCGAGUGACAGUAUGGGGCAGAUGGGUGUCAUUGCUCUGUGGUCACUUGAUGGGUGACCUGGGUUGGCCCUGUGUACCUACCCACUGGGCUUGGCUCAGAAUGGCAUCCUGCUGUUUCCACAAGUCAGCUGGCUCUCCAGGGUCAGGAUGGAACCUGCUGAGGAGAUCACAGAUGGCCCUGACUCCACACGCUGCCCCAGAGGGCCCCAAGGCAGGCAUCUGAGCCAGCCCCGGCUGCAGAGGUUGACUCAGGAAAGCACCAGGGAAAGUUGGUUGUUAAUAUCCCAGUCCAAUUUUUUUUGACUGGGCCUAAAGGCAGGGACUUCCUUCUAUAAAAUCUGGGAGCUGAGUGCAGGGCAGGCCUGACAAGGCGUGAGGAGCUGCCUGUGGACUUCGGCUCUCCCAGUGAGUCCAGGAGCUGCCCUGGGCCCUGGCGGCCCCUCCUCAUCCCCACCUCUCUGCUGCACCACUAUGGCCUCAAGGUCCCUGCACUGCCUCAUAAAGCUGUCCCCAAGUCAGGCUCCUGUGAGCGCGCCGGGCAUCAGAACUCUGGCUGGUGGACCCACAGAGGCCCGGGGUAAUAGCCAUGAGAAGAACAGGCCACCACGCUCAGACUGGGAAGCACCCAGCCUGCGGGAUGGCCAGAGACACUCAUCCAGGGCCAUGAGAGUGUGAAUCAGUCGAGUACAAUAUGCAUAACCAGUGUGGCCAGAACCGGUGCUUUGAGGUGUCUAACUCCUGGUGUCCUACCAUCCCAACACUGUUGAUUAAUGGCGAAAGAUGGGGCAUUGGGGAGGUCUGUGUCUAUGCUUGGUGGCACCUAAGAAAGAGCAAGGCAUUUAUCUGCAUGGAUUGAGAUAGACAGGUCUCUAAAAUAAACAAGGCAAAGAACGCAAGAGGCUGAACCAAAGUAUGAUCCAUUUGGGGCUUAACAAAUAGAUAGUAUAGGCAGCGCGGUGGCUCACGCCUGUAAUCCCAGCACCUUGGGAGGCUGAGGUGGGCAGAUCACCUGAGGUUGGGAGUUCCAGACCAGCCUGAGCAAUAUGGUGAAACCCUGUCUUUACUAAAAAUACAAAAAUUAGCUGGGCAUGGUGGUGCACGCCUGUAAUCCCAGCUACUCAGGAGGCUGAGGCGGGAGAAUCGCUUGAACCCGGGAGGUGGAGGUUGCAGUGAGCUGAGAUCAUGCCACUGCACUCCAGCCUGGGUGACAGAGGGAGACCCUGUCUCAAAAAAAAAAAAAAAAAAUAGAUGGGGUAGAUGCUUUUGGAAGAAUAUGCAGUCACUGCUCACACCAGCAUGGAACAAGUGGACUGGGGUUACUGCCUGGCGAGUCUCUUUCAGGUCCCUGAAUGCAGUUAACUCAGCGAGUCCUGAGUUCCCCAGGAGGUGGGCAUUCCCAUCUUACCCACGUUGCAGAUGAAGACACUGAGGUAUUGGGAGAACCUGCCCAGGUGAUACAGGUGCAUAGAUGACUUACUUUCAGAAAAUGUCAACAGGGUGCUCUGCAGAGGGGCAUGGGCUUUUAUGCCUUUAUUAUGCUUUUCUGUAUUAAAAGAAAAAUACAGUCAUGUGAUUUUAGAAACUCAACCCAUGGAAGAGAGAAUACUGGGUCUGUAGGAAAUCUGCAAAGUGGGAAAGAUACUUCUGGGCUUGGUGGUGGCACCUUGGAGCCUGCUUACGGAAAUCACCUCUCGUUCCCGUGAUGCUGAAAGCAGAAUGCUGGACAUGGAAGAACCGCGGUACUCGAGCUUCGUCUGCUGCCCCACACCCCACUGGCUGUUGCAAGAGUGACGUUGCCAUUGGUGACUGCAGGUCUCCCAGCAGCCUGGUGCAGAGAGGCCACUUCAGGCUCGAACAGAGGCCCGGGUUUCCACGGGAGACAGCAGAGCCACGGUGUAGCAGGCAUCCAGCUCUCCCCCGAUCAGUUCCGUGACUUGUCGGAAGGCCCUCCCUCCCGAGUUCAAGGUUCAGCUGGACCUGGUGCCUCCAAUGACGUCACCAAGUCUGUCUGUCCAUCUGUCUGAGUUCAGCUUCCUCCAGGUCUUCGUUCUCCAGCAGGCCUUCUCCUCAAAGUGGCCAGGUGACUGUCAGCUCUAUGGUUCAUUCUACCAGUUUAUGAAUCUCCCCUCCUCAUGUUGCUCAAAUUCAGCUGUGAGUAAACUCCCAAGCUGAUUGCAGCGUCCAAAGGGAGGGCACUGGUCCCAUGUGCAGCCGGCAACUCUAUGGGUUCAGCUCCACCCAAACUAUAUAGACCACAGCAGGGAAGGAAAGCCAGGGAUGCUAGGAUGGCCAGCACCACUGCAGAAGCCUAUUGAUCCCGUGCAAAAUAGCUCCAGUAAAAGGAGGGCUUUGGGGCCCGGUGUGUUGGCACACACCUGUAAUCCCAGCACUUUGGGAGGCCAAGGCAUGUGGAUCACUUGAGGUCAAAAGUUCUUGACCAGCCUGAUUAACAUGGUGAAACUCCGUCUCUAUUAAAUACAAAAAAAUUAGCCAGGAGUGGUGGUGCAUGACUGUUAUCUGAGCUACUUGGGAGGCUGAGACAGGGGAAUUGCUUGUACCCGGAGGCGGAGGUUGCAGUGAGCUGAGAUCACACCAUUGUACUCCAGCAUGGGCAACAAGAGCAAAACUCUGUCUCAAAAAAAAAAAAAAAAAGGAGAGCUUUGGUCUACAGAAAGUCAGGCACCAUCACAGCAUCAUAGGGACAGGGAUACAGGAUGCAGGUCCCCGUUACAUCCAGGGCUCCAUCCCUCUUCUCUCCAUCCUCCCCAUAGGCUUUUCCUACAGGCCUUUGGUUUUCCCCGGAUGUUGGCUUGCCCCUAUACCAGCACUGCCAUGGAUGUUGGCUUGCCCCUAUACCAGCACUGCCACGGAUGUUGGCUUGCCCCUAUACCAGCACUGCUCUGGAUGUAGGCUUGUCCCUACAAGAUCACUGGCCCGACUUGUCACUCCAGGGACAAUGUGUCCACCCUUGGCCUAGCUAGUCAGAAACUUUUGUCUUCGUGUCAUCGUGUCCAAUCAAGAUGUCCAAGAUCCUUCUCUCUUUAGAGAGCAUGGGGAGGAGGGGCAUUGUGCUGGGUUGAUGACUGUCCCCCAAAUCCACUUCCACUCAGAAGCUCAAAAUAUGACCUUAUUUGGAGACAGGGUCUUUGCAGAUGUAAUUAGUUAAGAUGAAGUCACGCUGCAUUAGGGUGGGCCCUAGACCCAAGGCCUAGACCCAAGGACUGGCGAUCUUAUAAAAAGAGGAGUGGACACAGAGACAGAUGCAGAGGGAGGGCAGCCACGGAAAGACAAAGGCAGAGAGUGGAUGAUGCAGCCGCAAGCCAUCGGAUGUCCAGGGCCACCAGGAGCUGAGGAGGUGAGGAAGGGCACCCCCAGGAACCUUCAGAGGGAGCACGACACUGUCGACACCUUGACUUUAGACUUCUGGGCUCCAGAUCAGCAAGGGAGUAGAUUUCUGCUCCUUUAAGCAUUUUAUGGGUCUCUGCUGCAGGAGCUCAAGGAAACUCAUUCAGGUAUUUAGGACGGUUGUGCUGGGUGGAGACGGACCACACACCGUCUCUGGGCUGAAGGGGCGGGCACCAGGAGCAGGUCCUCAGUCGACCGCAUCUUGGCACUUAGCUUUGGUGACUCCCCCUGGUGCUGCUGAUGUCCUACCGUGGCCUCUAGGGGACUCAGGGUCCUGCACCCCACCCCUGCUCCCUUCCUGCCCUGGCCUCGUCUCACCUCUGCAGUAGCAAGACUUUCUGCAGCCUGAAUCUAGAUUCUCUGCCGCCUCUUGGUUCUUCUCCUUCAAUGUGGGCUCACCAAGGGCCAUGAGGGUCCCCAGGACUGCAAGGGCACACAGAAAACCCACAGAUUCAUACACUGAGAUAUCGCUCUCCUCGUCGACAGGACCUCAAGCCUCCAGGCCCAGCUCAGUCUAAUUCAAUCUCUGUGUCUUUGCUCAAACUCUUGCAAGGAAAUCUGACCACCUUGGCCUGGCUGGGGGCAUCCAGCGCUAUCCCUGGGGUGUGGCCUGAAACCCUUCCUUCCUCGGUAGGACUCAGUCAACCAGGGUUAAGAAAAGGGCACAUUCCUUGGAGAAGCAUGAGGAGAUAAUGCUUCUGAGGACGCUCAUGUAUGUGAACGCUCAAUGCAGACAUAUGGAAAUUAUGUCGUCUACAUUUACCCCCAUCCCUCUAGGGUGGGUGUCAUCAGAUUCCCGUCCCAGUUUGCAGCUGGAGCCUCGGGGCUUGGAUUAAGUGCUUGCCAGUGCUGGUAGAGAAGCCUGUCACCUCCCACCACUCUCAGCACUUGUCCACUUGCCAAGGUCUCAUGGCAAGUAAGUCCUGGCCACCUUGGUCGCCUCUUAGACGAAGUGGCUUGGACUAGAUGCCCUCCUCCGAGGUGAAUCUUGAGCUGAAGCUUCGGUGUGUGCCUGGAGCAUGUGGCUGGGGUGUUCAGCAAACCCUGGGCAGGGAGGACAGGCCAGCCAGACCUCGGGCCCCCAACUGGGCAUCUGCCUCCAUAGGGCAUUCAUCCACUUUGGGGGUCUUUGUGUCCCUAAAAGAGUCUGAAUAUGAAUCCACACUCAAGCAAAACCAUUAAGGAGAUCAAAGCAGCCGCAAUGACACUGGAGGAGGCUCAUGCUCCUGGGAAACCUCAGAGUAAGACGCAUGGGGGAGGUGCUGGCUUAAGGGUCAUGACUGAGGUGAGAGGCUGAGGGCAAUGGACAGAAAGCAGCAUGCAACCAAGUUCAGGUGGCAGGGAAAACAGAGAGCAAGGAGGAAGCAAAACUGUGAGCAAAACAGGCCUUGAGGGGCCAAACAGUCAGCCACAGAUGCCAGGCUCCUGCCCGACCUGCCCCGACCCUGCCUCUCAGAGGGCACCUGCCAUCCUCUGUGCACCCCACCUGUCCUGUCCCAUCUGUGCAGGGCCCCGUCUAUCGCCCCUGAAGGGUCAGGUGCUCCUCACUGGAAGGUAGGAACUGGGCUUCACCAUCUGGACUGUGCAAGGCCUGCCUGGUCAUGAGAGCAAAGAGUUUUCUAGAAGGCUGGCUUGCACACAUAAGUGAAGAACUGCCCCCCAGAAGUAAUGCUUAGGCAAAGAAGGUGGGCAGUGGUGGUGGUCACAGAUGCUGGGGGUGAGCCAUAGGCCUGAGCCAUCCAUUGUGGGGGUCUGAAAGCCCAAGUCUGUGGCUCCCACACACAGAGAUAGACAGUUCCUAGAGAACACCAGAGUCUAGGCCCCAGGGGCUGGGCGUGCCUCAGAGGGCGCCCCAUGCCAGCUUAAAGGCAGCUGGGAAUGCAGCAAUUGAUCAGUGGGUGCUGGGCAGCUCACACCCCCGUGCGGACAGUCUUCUCCAUGGGCCGAGAAGUGUGUCACAUGCAUGCAGGUGCAUAUGCAUGGGGACAUGGGGGCCCAGGAGUCUUCCUACUGCAGAGUUCAAAGAUGCGGGCUGAAGGCAGUUUGGAGAGCGUCCCCUGCCUGUGCUUCUCUUUUAACUCCAGGACCUGAGCCUCUGCUGGGUGGCGGGUGGACGCUGCUCCCAGUCUCCCAUGCAAGGGGCCCCAGAGGGAGGAAAAUGGCAGGAUGGGACAGAGGGACCACGUGAGAGCAGCUUUGGGAUAAAGCUGCCAGAUACACAAAGCAAUAAACAAAAGGGAAAAAGGAAACGGGACUCAACACAAUUCACAAGUCACAAGGUGGUUGGCUCCAAGGAGCAGGUCCCUGGCUCAGCGGGUCCACUGGGGCUCUCUGGGCAGAGGGGCCUGGUGUUUGAGGUCCCCUCCAGAACCUUCACGCUGAGUGGCAAUGACAUUCCAUAGCCUUGAGGGGCAGGGGCGCAAGGCUCAGCACCCUGGGGCUCUGGGGUGGAGGAGGAGGAUGAUCCGGACUGGGGAGGCAGAAAUGGCCCUCCGUUCUUUUCUGUUUCUUCUCACGCCUCCAGCCCCUUGCUGCAGCCACACUGGCCUCAGUUACACUGGCUCCUUCCUGCUCCUCAUCUGUACAGGGCCAGGUCCUGAAUUAGGGGGGCCUUUGUACAUACAGGCACCAGAACAUUCUUCCAGAGCUUCACUGGAGCCUUCCUCUUCAGCAUGACCGUCCCUGGCCACCUGAUCCAGAGCUGGCGGCUCCCAGGCAUAGCCCAUCCCUGCUGCGGCUCUGCACUGCCCCAGUCCUCACCUGCAUGCAGGGGACUAUUCACAUGCUGACCGUCUGUCCAUCUCCCGUAAGAACGUCGGCUCCUUCCACGUCUGCUGGGCGUGGAGGAUCCCUCACAGCCUCCCCGACCUCAGAGCCAUGAGAGACUUGCAAAGCUUGAAACAAACUCUGAAAGGACUCUUCACAGAUAAAUUCCUCCAGGUGCAUGUUUCAAACAAUUUUAUUAUCUAACCCAAGAGUAAGUUAGCAAUCGAUUUCCUAAUCUUUAUUGAUUGGCAGUGGGCAGGCUAGUGUGAUUAAAGAUGUGAGAGAGACUUGCCAAAUAAAAUGCAUGAGCAGCCUUCAUGAGCUUAGCUCCAAUGUGCAGAGUGAUAGGGUCAGGGAAGUGUGUGUAUGUGUGCAUGAUUGUGUGAGAUCAGGGUAGUGUGUGUGUGUGUGUGUGUGUGUGACAUCAGGGCAGUGGGUGUGUGAGAGAGAUCAGGGCAGUGUGUAUGUGUAUGUGUGAGAUCAGGGCAGUGUGCGUGUGUGUGUGUGUGUGACAUCAGGGCAGUGUGUCUGUGUGCAUGAGUGUGUGAGAUCAGGGCAGUGUGUGUGCAUGAGUGUGAUAUCAGGGCAGUAUGUGUGUGUCUGUGUGUGUGUGUAUGAUAUCAGGGCAGUGUGUGUGUGUCUGUGUGUGAGGUUAGGGCAGUGUGUGUUUGUGUGCAUGAGUGUGUGAGAUCAGGACAGUAUGUGAGAGAGAGAGAUCAGGGCAAAGGGCAGUGUUUGUGUGAGAUUAGGGCAGAGUGUGUGUGUGUGUGUAUGAGAUCAGGGCAGUGUGUGUGUGUGUGCAUGAGUGUGUGAGAUCAGGGUAGUGUGUGUGUGUGACAUCAGGGCAGUGUUUGUGUGUUUGUGUGAGAUCAGGGCAGUGUGUGUGUGUGCACGAGUGUGUGAGAUCACGGAAGUGUGUGUGUCAGGUCACCACAGUGUAUGUGCGGGUAUGCGUGUGUGUGUGCACAGGGAACACACGGACAGCCAUUCCAAGUACACACUCUCCUUGGGUAAAUCUGUGAGUAAUCAUUGCUCCAGCAGUGAGAGCCCGUGAGGGUGGUGCAGGAAGACUGUGGCCUGCCUCCUGAGGGAAGCAUUAAAAAAACAGUCAAAGGAAAACGAACUCAGCUCUCCCAGGGUGGAGGACGUGGAGGUGGGCAGCCAGGGAACAAAUCUGGUUGCUGCGAGCCUGUCAGAAAGGGCCCUAGUGCCCUGCCAGGAGGAAGGACUCUGGGCCAUGAGCAUGAUGGUCUUUGAAGGCCAGGAGAGCUAGCCUACCCCAGCUCUGCCACUAACUGUGCGACUCACGGUCACAUGAUGAUACCUCCUGGGCCCCAUAUACUUUAUCUGCAAAUGGGAAGAAGCACAGCCUCUGUGUCCACAGUGCUGUUGAGGUUGGAUCGGGGCUAACUGGCAAUCAGACAUGUGUCUAUAAAUGCCGGCGAGCCAGGCAGAGCCCAGGCCUGAGAGUCCACCAGGGUGGCAGGCCUUAAUCCGCGCUGCACAGAUCUGU
rnacentral:lncRNA from 1 species